GGGGCGGGGGGCGGAGUCAGUGCCAGCUCAGUGCUGCCAGGCCCUGAUCCCGGGAUUUGAUCCUGCUCUGAAUACUUCUCACAUAAAUACAGCACAUUGAUGCCACGUGCCCACACAGAUGGAUGACGCAGGGCCCUGGCAGUCAGACAGAGUGCAUGCAGUAGUCAAGGCACCAGCAAGAUCACAGGAUCUGAGAUCAGCAGGAACCUUGAUGGCACCACAGAGCCUAUUUUAAACUCAGGAGACUGAGGAGCAAUUUUUGUAGUCUUGGCCAGUAUGGACCAAAAUAAAUUUAUUUCUACAGUUUGCAGAACUGUUGCCUCAAAAAAAUGUUGGGCUUUUUAUGAAGUUUAUGUAGAAAGGAAACAUAGAACCCAUGCCUAGAAAUCCUACUUCCAUGGGAGAAAGCCCACCAGGGAAACUGCUUGGAAAGUUUAAGGAAUGUGACUUUUAAAUUAUAAAAGAGAAAGACACUAAAUUACAAGAAAAGUUCAGAGACAGAAGGGGUUGAUCCAAAGCCGGCAGGCUUUGUCCUGGUGAAAAACCCAGCACACAGCACACUUCCUCACGUUGCUGGGUUUAUUCCUCCCAUGCUUUCCCAUGGACUGUAGCCCACCAGGCUCCUCUGUGCAUGGAAUUCUCCAGGCAAGAAUACUGGAGUGGGUUGCCAUUUUCUUCUCCAGGGGGUCUUCCUGACCCAGGGAUCAAACCCGUGCCUCUGGUAUUGCAGGCAGAUUCUUUACGACCCGAACCACCAGGGAAGCCAUUGCACUUUACAUGGUGCCAAUUUAAAAUUCAGUUUAAGUAAUUUUUUUCAGGUUAAGUAAUUCCUAAGACCCAAAUAGCUCCCCCUUGAUGUUAUCUGCCCAGUGGCGCAUGUAGUCUGCAAGAACCCCUCUUCCCUGAAGCCCUCCAGUCAGCAGCCUUUUCCACACGUGUCUCCCAGCACAUCUGUCCGCCGGUGUCGUGGGCUCUCUGCCCGACUCUGCACAGAACUGCUGCUGAUGGCAUCUCUUCUAGGCAGGGAGUCAUUCUGUCAGCCAUCACCUAAACGUCAACGUCCUCCCAUCUGAGAUUGUAUUUCUAUGUCCCUUAAAAGAGCAUUUUAACAAAAUCUCGAUUUGAACAUGAAUAGGUUUUACCUACUGAUUUUAUCAGUUUUUCAUUGUAUCCUAUGGUCUGAUUGUGCCCUUACCCUCUCAUGAAGCAACUUGCCAGGACUUAUGAAUGACUUCUGAUCGCUUUUCCAUUUACAUCCACCCUUCUGUGGCACAUGCUUCUGUGACACGUCCUUAUUGCCAUGACGCUCUCUCCUUCCUUUUGGAAUGCCUGCUGUUGCCUUCCUGCCUCUCUGCUGCAUCCUGUCCCCGUGUGUGUCUCUCCCUGGCACUCACAGCAGGUUCACAGCAGACUCACUCACAUGCUGUUCCCUUUGGAGUCCCCGCCUCCCAUUUUAGCUGUGCUAUUUGGAUACAAAUUCCCAAGUACAAAUUCUCCAACCAAGACUCCUGCUCCCACAUCUGGGCUCUGUAGAAUCUUCACCUGAGAAAUUACCAUGGAUCAAACCUAAUAUACCUUUCUUUCUCCCCAUUUACACCCCUUAUGGACCCUCCCUCUCUCCUGGGCACCAGGCUUCCUGGUUCAGAUCAUCCAUGACCCAUUUCUCUACACUCAAGGAGUUAUCUGGCCAUGUUGGCUCCAGCUCUAAUGGAGUGAGUUGAGCAGUGAUGGACCCAGAGAAGAGUGGAGACAACAGGGCAUGAAGAAGGGAUAUAUUUUCAUGUUUGCUUACAAGGAACUCUAGAAGGAUCCGUAAGAAACAAAAUGCUACCUGUGGAGGCAGAUGGCCCUGGACACACAGGCUAAACGACAGGAGGCACAGAUUAAGGCAAAGUGUAUUUUCAGCAUCUUGAAUCAUGUACCUGUAUUAUAACCUCUUUGGAAUUUUCAAUAAAUUGAAUUUUUAAAAACCUCCAAAGAAUAAAAUGCAUUUUACU